rnacentral:rRNA from 1 species
AUUGAACGCUGGCGGCAGGCCUAACACAUGCAAGUCGAGCGGAUGAAGGGAGCUUGCUCCUGGAUUCAGCGGCGGACGGGUGAGUAAUGCCUAGGAAUCUGCCUGGUAGUGGGGGAUAACGUCCGGAAACGGGCGCUAAUACCGCAUACGUCCUGAGGGAGAAAGUGGGGGAUCUUCGGACCUCACGCUAUCAGAUGAGCCUAGGUCGGAUUAGCUAGUUGGUGGGGUAAAGGCCUACCAAGGCGACGAUCCGUAACUGGUCUGAGAGGAUGAUCAGUCACACUGGAACUGAGACACGGUCCAGACUCCUACGGGAGGCAGCAGUGGGGAAUAUUGGACAAUGGGCGAAAGCCUGAUCCAGCCAUGCCGCGUGUGUGGAGAAGGUCUUCGGAUUGUAAAGCACUUUAAGUUGGGAGGAAGGGCAGUAAGUUAAUACCUUGCUGUUUUGACGGUACCAACAGAAUAAGCACCGGCUAACUUCGUG